rnacentral:rRNA from 1 species
CCUACGGGUGGCUGCAGUGGGGAAUAUUGGACAAUGGGGCAACCCUGAUCCAGCCAUGCCGCGUGUGUGAAGAAGGCCCUCGGGUUGUAAAGCACUUUCAGUGAGGAAGAACGCCUGGUGGUUAAUACCCAUCAGGAAAGACAUCACUCACAGAAGAAGCACCGGCUAACUCCGUGCCAGCAGCCGCGGUAAUACGGAGGGUGCGAGCGUUAAUCGGAAUUACUGGGCGUAAAGCGCGCGUAGGUGGCUUGAUAAGCCGGUUGUGAAAGCCCCGGGCUCAACCUGGGAACGGCAUCCGGAACUGUCAAGCUAGAGUGCAGGAGAGGAAGGUAGAAUUCCCGGUGUAGCGGUGAAAUGCGUAGAGAUCGGGAGGAAUACCAGUGGCGAAGGCGGCCUUCUGGACUGACACUGACACUGAGGUGCGAAAGCGUGGGUAGCAAACAGGAUUAGAUACCCCAGUAGUC